CAACCUCAACUCAUAUGGGACUACCCCCUGAAUUUAAGCAUAUUAAUUAGGGGAGGAAAAGAAACUAACAAGGAUUUUCUUAGUAGCGGCGAGCGAAAAGAAAUCAGUUCAGCACUAAGUCACUUUGUCUAUAUGGCAAAUGUGAGAUGCAGUGUACGGAACAUCAACAUUCUAGUAUGAGAAGUUAACGAUUUAAGUCCUUCUUAAAUGAGGCCAUUUACCCAUAGAGGGUGCCAGGCCCGUAUAACGUUAAUGAUUACUAGAUGGUGUUUCCAAAGAGUCGUGUUGCUUGAUAGUGCAGCACUAAGUGGGUGGUAAACUCCAUCUAAAACUAAAUAUAACCAUGAGACCGAUA
rnacentral:ncRNA from 1 species